rnacentral:rRNA from 1 species
AUACGAAGGGUGCAAGCGUUGUUCGGAUUUAUUGGGCGUAAAGCGCGCGCAGGCGGACUAAUAAGUCAGGUGUGAAAUCUUGGGGCUUAACCCCGAAACUGCGCCUGAAACUGUUAGUCUAGAAUCUUGGAGAGGGAAGUAGAAUUUCGCAUGUAGGGGUAAAAUCCGUAGAGAUGCGAAGGAACACCAGAGGCGAAGGCGACUUCCUGGACAAGUAUUGACGCUGAGGCGCGAAAGCAUGGGUAGCGAACAGGAUUAGAAACCCCAGUAGUCC